rnacentral:tRNA from 1 species
AGUAAAGUGGCAGAUAAAUGCGUCAAGUUUAAGCCUUGUGUAUGAAAGUUUUUUUCCUUUAUUA